CUGCUUCACAUUACAUGGAGACGAAUUAAACAAGCUACUAUGGUACUCAGAAAACAUCUGCUAACAAAGUCAGAAGUAACGAUAAACAAACUUGAGUUCCCUUUGUGGUUGAUUUUCAUCCAGCUGCAUUUAAUUAUAAAAGAGCUAUCAAAGAAAGCUCCCCAUUAGCAGCAAAUUCAGAAUGACUUCAGAAGAAAAUCCCAGAGCCUCCAGUGAUAUCUCUCGAACAACUUUCUCAUCUCUGCAAGUGAUUGAGAAGAGCUGAAUGAGACCAGCUUAGCGAUCAUUUCUCCUGCUAGCUGCCAGAGUAAAAUGAAGAUGAUGUAUCCUUUCAGUACCUGUGAUUGCCCAUUUUCAAAGCACUCCUAUUGGUUGGACCUAUAAGAUCUACCAGACUCUCUCCUGCAGCUGAUCUCUGCCAUAUGCAUCGAUGUCAAUCAGGAAUACAAAGAUAACUCUAAAAAUUGCUGUGUGCAUUUUCUAAAGUGUAGCAUCUGCUGAUUUUGCUGAGAAAGUGAACAGAUUUGUUGUUACAAGCUUUUUUUUUUUUUUAAAUAGAGUCUUAUUCAUUUUGGUAUUUUCCACAAUGAAAUUAAAGAUGUGGUCAUUUAUGAAUACCUAAUUCUGGUUUACAUUGAUCAGGAACUUUUGCACUGAUGUAUCUAGCGAUGCACGGAGUCUGAGACUGAUGCUCUAGAUGAGCAAGACACACCUGAAUGUUAUUAUAACACAGCAAUGAUGUUUUUUUCUUUUUUUUUUUCAUAAAAAAAUAAAGAGAAAAGAACUGAAAAGCAUGUUCAUCCUAGUUCCCCUGAAGCUUCUUACACUGGCAAUAUUAGAUAUUCCAUGAACAGGUAACCUAUGUACUGAAGUUACAAGUGACAUUUUGUAAAUGUACCCAGAACUACAAGCAAUUACAAUAAAAGUCUAUUAACUCCAGUGAUAAUUAUGAACCCUCAAAGGAAUCUUCAUACACAGCAACGCACAAACAACCUGCAGUGUUCUGCUAUUGGAAGGUCUGGGUAACGGCAUGGAGGGUGGGAAAGGAGCUCUGGAAAAAUUCAGCUGGCUUAGAAACUCUGAUGGAAAGAAGAGGGCUUCUGGACGCUGAGAAAAGCAUUGAACCAGACUGGACAAUUUCUUCUGCACAGAAAGGAAAAUUGCUCAUUAUCUGUGCACAUGGGUCAAGAGACAUCCUCACUCAGAUUUUGCAUCCCAGACUAAAAACUGCAGGAAGCGUAUGAUACUGCUGCUUGCCUUUGGGUCCUGCACUGACUCCUGCCAGGAACAUGACAUUUACGCUGAGCACCUUGAAAAACAAGCGUUUCACUACUUCCCUGCAUGAGUGGCUUUCUUACACGUAUGCAAACAGAGACUCAAGACUUUUUCACCUACAAAAAAUAAAGGAUCCAGACCAUUUUGCUGGAGCCCCAACAUCCCAGGGCUGUACUCUCAGCAAUAGUACAUUGAGCCAUGCUCUUUUUACAAGCAAACAGGGUAUUUUGCUCCCUGAGCUUGUUGUUGUGAUACGGGUAUUCUGCUGCCACACUAGGGCUGAGCAUGCUGAUCAAGCUCAUAUAUUAACAGGAGGAGGUGAGCAGCAUUUCUCCAGGAAAAAAAGUUUGUAGCCUGGCACACCUUCAUAACAAAGAUCUGCUCCGUUCAUCUGUCUGCUUAGAAAACAUGGGUGGGUGCUUUUUUUUGCCAAAAACCAUACCUGAUAGGUUUUACUGUUUAUUUUGCGUGUGUGUGCAGGCUAAACAGUCACUAAUAUGCUUCAAUAUGUUCCUCUUCCCUAUUUUGGUAACUGUAUAAGUACACCAUCGCUUCGCGAAAGCAUAGUUCAUAAAGCAUCCCAGCACCAGCAGAGAACAAAGAUUCAUGCAUCUCCAGAAAGGCUGUUUACAACAAACCUUCAUGCUCCCCUCAUGUAUUUUUCCCCUCCAAAAUUAGCAGCAGCCCACACAGCAGCAAAGACUCCUACCCCUGAUGGAUUCAGUAAGUGGCUGCAACCAGAAGCUCUCCUAUCGCAGCAAUCCUCUUCCCCCCAUCGCCUAGCAGAGACCCUCCAUAUGUCAUCAAUAGACCAGACAGAGAAGUCCUAAGCCUGUUUUUUGGGGGAUGUUAAUACAAAAUGAUGAUAGAUAACUACUAAGCGGAGCAGCAGACAGACCCGGCGCCUCUGACAGCAGCUGCUCUUCCUUUGUCAGUGUCAAUCGGCGCUGGCAUCGCGGGGAACGAGCAAAAGUGACAAGAGAAGAGCGCACCAAUUAUGGAUGAAGGGAUACAAUCUACUCCCACUGCUUGAUGUGAUUUAUUCGACGGUCCUUCUGCAUUUAUAGAGCAGCAGAUUGCGGCUGCUUAUGAAGUGACAAAUAGUGCUCAAUGACAUUGACUGACUGGUCUGAUCAAUUUAGCUUGGCUGAGAAGUAGCCACGAAUCGCUGUCUGGGUUGAAUGACAUACGUACCAUCCCGGCUCCGCUCGGCCAAGGCAAAAAUCUCCAACGCUGUUUGGAAAACUGAUAAAAAAAAAUGACUCCCUUCAAACAAAUAGCACCACAGUCCCGUACAAGCAGUGAAAAAUUACAACCUUUCCCAUCGCUUUGCUUUGAAAUGCAUCUCACUUAAAGAAUGUUUUGUCUUCGAGACAGCGUCAGCGGAACAUUUUUAUUCUCUUAUAAGUUCCUGAAUAUUUGAUAUAUUUUGCUGGAGAAGCAAUGUAUCUGACAGAAGGGAAAAAUGUGGAGGCCUCCUUGCAGGAACCAACAAAGCAACUCUUCACAUUUUCUAGCAAAGUUGCCAACUGCCCUGAUUUUACUGAGUCUUGAGUCAUUGGAGUCAUUUUUAAAGUCCUGGAAUCUGGUGAUGAUGUAAUUCAGCUUUUGCCUUAAAAUAAAGAAAAACAGGGAAAAAAAAGAAAAAGAAAAGGAAAUUCCCAGCCCUGUGGUCAGAGAACAACUUGAAAAUGUGAUUUCAGUGAACCCAGCAGGAUCAAAAGCCAAAGGAAACCUAGCCAACUUAUUAAUGCAGAGGGGGUUGGAGCUAUUUUGUGGGUUCCUAACCUAAAAGUAACCUUAGGACUACGGAAGCCUGACAGAACUUUUUAACACCUGGGGCUGACAGCACAGAAAUUUCUGGCUCAUUCUAGCAGAGCCUCUGUGCUAAUAAACCAAUAUUGAGAACUGUCGGACUUCAGGAACUGGUAGGCCUUCUGGCAGGAGGAGUUUCUACACGUGCAAAGGUGGCAGAAGCAGGCUAUGGGGUGCCAUCUAAUUCUCACUGCUUUUAGUGAGCCUCGCACGGCCGUUCUCAUAACGCUGGAGUUACUCGAUAAGGUGUGAGCUGGCACCACCAGAGGCUGCAGAUUGCAGUCACUGGGCAAACAAAGAAUUAAAACCCAUUGAGAGAGCGUUAGCAAGUUUUAUCUAGCAUUAGAUUAUUUUCAUAAAGUCGUAAUUUCAUGCCACACCUUAUAAAUAAAACCUAAGAUAUUGCUUAAACGAAGCAGUGCAUGGGUUGCCUGCAAAAGGUAAUUCCGUGUAUAAAUACAGUCUAACUUGUGAUCAGGUCUACAUAUACCUAUCAAUACAUAUGGACUUACAUGUGUAUAAAUCAAUGUCUGCGGGUGGGGGGUGCGCGUGUGCGGUUCAAUAUAUACUACAAUAUUAAACUGUUAUCCAUGCACAAGUAUAUUUAUGUAUAUAUUUCAAUUUAUUAGAGCUAGGCAGUCCUUUACAGACUUAAUAAAGAGCACCAGCAUUAUAAGCCAA
ensembl:lncRNA